CCUUGGCGGGUAAGUUCCGACCCGCACGAAAGGCGUAACGAUUUUGGCACUGUCUCAACAACAGACUCGGUGAAAGUGUAAUUCCGGUGAAGAUGCCGGAUACCUGCGACAGGACGGAAAGAACCCAUGGAGCUUUACUGUAGCUUGACAUUGGGUCAUGGUACUACAUGUACAGGGUAGGUGGGAGGCUUUGAAACCAGGCCGCCAGUUUAGGCGGAGCCAUCCUUGGGAUAACACCAUUGUAGUACUGAGACUCUUACCAGAAGCGAUGAAACUGGACUUGGUAUACUGGCGGGUGGACAGUGUGACUGGGGCGAUCGCGUACCACACGGGUAAGGCGGCGCUCACAGUUUCUCCCUGUACGGUCGGACCUCGUACGUCUAGUGUCAAGGCAACAUGAGACUACAAUUACAGACAGACCAGUAGCGCACGGAUGCACAUC
rnacentral:rRNA from 1 species